GUGACUAGGAUACGGUAGAGGUGAGUGGAAUUCCGAGUGUAGCGGUGAAAUGCGUAGAUAUUCGGAGGAACACCAAUUGCGAAGGCAGCUCACUGGGCCGCUAUCGACGCUGAGGAGCGAAAGCUAGGGGAGCAAACAGGAUUAGAUACCCCGGUAGUCAGGAUUAGAUACCCC
rnacentral:rRNA from 1 species